GAUGAACGCUGGCGGCGUGCCUAAUACAUGCAAGUCGAGCGAACGGACGAGAAGCUUGCUUCUCUGAUGUUAGCGGCGGACGGGUGAGUAACACGUGGAUAACCUACUUAUAAGACUGGGAUAACUUCGGGAAACCGGAGCUACUACCGGAUAAUAUUUUGAACUGCAUGGUUCAAAAGUGAAAGACGGUCUUGCUGUCCUUUAUAGAUGGAUCCGCGCUGCAUUAGCUAGUUGGUAAGGUAACGGCUUACCAAGGCAACGAUGCAUAGCCGACCUGAGAGGGUGACCGGCCACACUGGAACUGAGACACGGCCCAGACUCCUACGGAAGGCACCCGUAGGAAAUCUUCGCCAUUGAGCGAAAGCCUAACGUAGCAACACCGGGUGGAUGAUGAAGGUCUACGACUCGUAAAACUCUUUUAUUUAGGAAGAACAUAUGUGUAGGUAACUGUGCACACCUUGACGGUACCUAAUCAGAAAGCCACGGCUAACUACGUG
rnacentral:rRNA from 1 species